UACGUAGGGUGCAAGCGUUGUCCGGAAUUAUUGGGCGUAAAGAGCUCGUAGGCGGUUUGUCACGUCUGCUGUGAAAACUCGGGGCUUAACCCCGGGCCUGCAGUGGGUACGGGCAGACUAGAGUGCGGGAAGGGAGAGUAGAAUUCCUGGUGUAGCGGUGAAAUGCGUAGAUAUCAGGAGGAACACCAAUAGCGAAGGCAGCUCGCUGGGACGGUACUGACGCUAAGGCGCGAAAGCGUGGGGAGCGAACAGG
rnacentral:rRNA from 1 species